AGUGAAGCUUUGAGUUUGUUUGAAACCAGGUGUAAGUGUGUGUGUGUCAGGUUUUGAAAAUGAUUUAAGCCUAAAAACCGUGUCAUAUUUAAUAUUUAAGCGCAUUUAUUAUAAUAACUCUAGUAAUUAAUCAAAGUAUAUGUGUUGGGUGGUUCUUUUGUGUAAAGUCACUCUAUCGAGCUGUUAAGGCCCAACUGCCUAGUCGUUCAGGUGAACGCAGUGAGCCGAAAUGCAGUACUAACGACUGCAUGGCGCUAACGACAAAGAUGGCCGAAAUGAAAGCUGAGAAAAAGGAGUGAGAUAUGUGGCAUCAUAUCUAUAAAUAUGGGUGUUCUCAAGAGGGCUGCCUAGUGACAUGGGAUUAUCAUUUGACAAAGCAACCAGUCCUGUCUGACUAUUUUCUCCUGUCAGACCAGGUCGCGGACACUCCUCUGAGAUUAUUGAAUGUAUCAUUAAGCAUCCCUAAUUGUAAACAUUUUCCAAAUGCGUCUUCACAGAAGGAACCCAAAUUGUUGCAUUGUGACAAUAUACGUAGUUUCAGGAUUACAGGCUUUGAUUUUUAUCCUCAACAGACAGCAGUAAAUAACUCAUCAGGUCUGUUGCAGGGAUUUGAUUUGGGACUCAAUAGCGUGUCUGUUCAUCUUGCCACUGCGAAUGUCAUCAAGAAACAUCUGGCCUGGAGCAGAGACAAUGGGAAAAGUUUCCUUCCAACCGAGUCAUGACUUAAAUGAUGUGAACGUGAGAACUAACAAAAGCAUGAAUAUAUGCAUGAAUUAUUGGCUACACUUUUUAUAUUUUUAUUCAGAUUGUGCAGCUUUUCUUGAGGAUUUAAGGCUUGUUUUUAAGUCGUGCAUUUCCUGAAGGACUUUAGAUGGGUUGCUACUGAUGUGAAGUCAGAAAAACGUUCUAAGCUUGCUUUUCUUAAACGUGUCUUGGCUUUGAACGCUGACAGUGUUUACCAAACAGUUCAUUUUUUUUGUUCCAAGUUUUGUAGGAAAGCUGCUAAUCCAUAUAUAUUCAACAAACCCAUUUGGGAUUGGAAUUGAUAACUUUUUUUUCUUUUCAAGGUCAUUUCACGACCUGUAGCCAUUUCCGUUCGUUCUGUAGAGUGUGCGUUCAUGCCUUACUAUCACUCCUGCUUCACUCUUUCUAUCUGCCCAACACUUUUCAUUAAAAGUCAUAGGUUUGGCUUUGGGGCACUGAUCAAAUGGGAAAAGGAAAUACAUUUUCAUUCCUUGCAGAUAUUUCAGAAGUACCUUAUAUUUACAUAUAGAUUGAGUAUUUAUCGGCAAAGCUGCAGUGAGGGCAGAUUCUCUUGUAGUUCAUUUUCUGAGGCUUUGUUGGAUUUAUGUUUUUUUAAAUGGAUUGAAGAUGUUGAGUGUGCAGUUGUAAUUAUUUGAACUGGAU
rnacentral:lncRNA from 1 species